GUAGAGGAGAGGUAGAGGUAGAAGAGAGGACAGGAGAAGAGAGGAGAGGUAGAGGUAGAGGAGAGGUAGAGGUAGAGGCGAAGAGAGGAGAGGAGAGGUAGAGGUAGAGAUAGAGCUAGAAGAGAGGACAGGAGAGGAGAGGAGAGGUAGAGGUAGAAGAGAGAACAGGAGAGGAGAGGUAGAGAAGAGAGGAUAGGAGAGGAAAGGUAGAGGAGAGGUAUAGGAGAAGAGAGGUAGAGGUAGAAGAGAGGACAGGAGAGGAGAGGAGAGGUAGAGGUAGAAGAGAGAACAGGAGAGGAGAGGUAGAGGUAGAAGAGAGGACAGGAGAGGAGAGGUAGAGGUAGAAGAGAGGACAGGAGAAGAGAGGUAGAGCUAGAGGAGAAGAGAAGAGAGGACAGGAGAGUAGAGGAGAGGUAGAGGUAGAAGAGAGGACAGGAGAAGAGAGGACAGGAAAGGAUAGGUAGAGGAGAAGAGAGGACAGGAGAAGAGUGGACAGGAAAGGAUAGGUAGAGGUAGAAGAGAGGACAGGAGAGGAGAGGAGAGGUAGAGGUAGAGGAGAAGAGAGGACAGGAGAGUAGAGGAGAGGUAGAGGUAGAAGAGAGGACAGGAGAAGAGAGGACAGGAGAAGAGAGGACAGGAU
rnacentral:lncRNA from 1 species